rnacentral:rRNA from 1 species
CGGAACACGUACAGAACCUUCCUUUAAGCGGGGAUAGCCCAUAGAAAUGUGGAUUAAUACCCCAUAGUAAUAUUUGAUGGCAUCAUCGGGUAUUUAAAGAUUUAUCACUUAGAGAUGGCUGUGCGGCUGAUUAGGUAGUUGGCGGGGUAAAGGCCCACCAAGCCAUCGAUCAGUAACUAGUGUGAGAGCACGACCAGUCACACGGGCACUGAGACACGGGCCCG